rnacentral:rRNA from 1 species
UACGGGGGGGGCAAGCGUUGUUCGGAAUUACUGGGCGUAAAGGGCGCGUAGGCGGCAUGCCAAGCGUGUGGUGAAAGCCCGGGGCUCAACCCCGGGUCGGCCGUGCGGACUGGCGUGCUCGAGCACUGUAGGGGCGGGUGGAAUUCCGGGUGUAGCGGUGGAAUGCGUAGAGAUCCGGAAGAACACCGGUGGCGAAGGCGGCCCGCUGGGCAGGAAGGCUCGCAAGAGCCGGCUGACGCUGAGGCGCGACAGCGUGGGGAGCAAACAGG